GGCUCGGCGGCAGGGGGCGGUGGUCCGGAGGCGGCGGUCGCUGAGCAAGCUUUGGUGCGACCGCGAGGCCGAGUCGUGCCCCCCUUCGUAUUCACGCGCCGCGGCUCCAUGUUCGAUGACGAGGAUGGGGAUCUGGCUCACGAGUUCUAUGAGGAGACAGUCGUCACCAAGAACGGGCAGAAGCGGGCCAAGCUGAGGCGGGGGCAUAAGAACCUGAUUCCUCAGGGCAUCGUGAAGCUGGAUCCCCCCCGCAUCCACGUGGAUUUCCCUGUGAUCCUCUAUGAGGUGUAAGUCUGGGGAGUGGCAGGCAUAAACACCCCCUGCCUCAGCAAGAAACCCCCAGGCUCAAGGUGUGGCUUCCACUGAGGAACCUAGGCUGGGGCCACAAACCUGAAUAA